UCUUUACUUCUUAACUGUGGGUAAGCCUGGAAGUGUGCCAAACAGAGAUAGGUGCUUCGCACAGAAAGUAGACCCCGCAUUACGGUGUUUGCGAUCUUCACACAAUGACGCCUCAAAAUCUGACGCGCCAUAUGCAGUGCAGCAGGUUGUACUAAUAUCCGCAUCAGGUCUCUAAGGUGAGUAGCCUCUGGUACGUAGAUUCAUGUGAGUAAGGGAAGUCGGCAACUUGGUUCCGUAUCCUUGGGAAAAGGAAUGGCUCUGACGAUUGAG
rnacentral:rRNA from 1 species